UACGUAGGGGGCAAGCGUUGUCCGGAAUCAUUGGGCGUAAAGAGCGUGUAGGCGGCCAGAAAAGUCCGCUGUGAAAACUCGAGGCUCAACUUCGAGCUGUCGGUGGAAACUUUCUGGCUAGAGUCCGGAAGAGGAGAAUGGAAUUCCUGGUGUAGCGGUGAAAUGCGCAGAUAUCAGGAGGAACACCGGUGGCGAAGGCGGGUCUCUGGGCAUUACCUGACGUGAGGAGCGAAAGUGUGGGGAGCGAACAGG
rnacentral:rRNA from 1 species